rnacentral:rRNA from 1 species
CCUACGGGAGGCAGCAGUGAGGAAUAUUGGUCAAUGGGCGGAAGACUGAACCAGCCAAGUCGCGUGAGGGAUGAAGGCACUACGGGUUGUAAACUUCUUUUGUACGGGAAUAAAGCUCCUUACGUGUAGGUCUUUGCAUGUACCGUAUGAAUAAGGACCGGCUAACUCCGUGCCAGCAGCCGCGGUAAUACGGAGGGUGCGAGCGUUCUCCGGAUUUAUUGGGUUUAAAGGGAGCGUAGGUCGUUUGUCAAGCCUGCUGUGAAAUGUCCGGGCUCAACCCCGGCCUUGCAGUGAAAACUGGCAGUCUUGAGUUCGCGGGAGGUAGGCGGAAUGCGUGGUGUAGCGGUGAAAUGCAUAGAUAUCACGCAGAACGCCGAUUGCGAAGGCAGCUUGCUGGAGCCAAACUGACGCUGAUGCACGAAAGCGCGGGUAUCGAACAGGAUUAGAUACCCUAGUAGUC